UGCAAGGAAAAAAAGUUAUUUUUUUGCCAUCAUCAUUAAGUCAGAAAACUCCUCUCUUUCGACUCCACUCUUUGUGGACCAACCAACUUUAAACUUUUCCCCGGAUCAAUAAAGAAAUUAUGCAAAUUUAGUCAUUCAUUGGACAUGUCGAACAAAAAGUCCAUAACACAACAAGCAGAGAAGUUGUAACACGCAACAACCACGCAACCCCACAAAGAAGGACAACAAUAUAGCGGAACACCAAAAAAAAAGUAAUACAAGGAAGGCCAACAAAUAGAAGUUAAUGCGUACACAACUGGAAGCUAUGCGACAAAAUGAAAUUUAAUUUAUGAAAAAUUUAACAAUGUCAUUGAGGGCUUCUGUGGCCAUUAUUAGGAGAAGAACAAGAAGGGACACAUUGGCAAGGUCGCCAAAGUAACUCUAUAGUCAGUAAUAAUGUCGGAAGUUGUCCAUGCCUUAACAAAUUUCUAAAAAAAAAAAAAAAACAUUUCCGAAAACAAAUUCCCUGCAACAUACUUUGUUGUUAUUGCACGUGCUGUUGCUGUUGUUGUUGUUCCCGUUUGCUGACUACGCUCGGUACACUCGGUGGCUUGUGGUACUGGCUGAGAGCACAAAAGCGUAUAAAUUGUUGAAAAGUGUUGCCAAAAUUACACCCAUGAGAGUCUUUAGCAAACAACGACGAAUGAAACACACAACGGAUAUUAUGCCACACAAAACAAUACCGAAAAAAUAACAAAAGCAACAACAACAACGAAAAAAGACAAAGAGUGAGAGAGACAAAACACAAAAUAACAAUCUCAACGGAAACCCUGAAAAUUCAUUCCAAAAAAACAGAGCCAGGGAUGGCAUGGAACAUUAGAAGCCAAGUGCGAACGUAACUAAUUUAAGAGAGAAGCAAAAAAAAAAGUGCCACGAAAAUUAGUUAGCACUUUCAUGUAGCAUUGUCGUUAUCGACCUUGUCUAGUAGCCGACCAGAAUACAAGCUUAUUAAAGAGAGAGAGAGAGA
rnacentral:sRNA from 1 species